UUUUUUUUUUUUUGAUGCUGAGUUAUAUGAGCUCUUUAUAUGUUUUGAAUAAAACCCCUUAUUGGUUAUAUCAUUUGCAAAUAUUUUCUUCCAUUCUGUAGGUUAUUCAUUUUGUUUAUGGUUUCCUUUGCUGUGCAGAAGCUUUUAGGUUUACUUAAGUCUUAUUAUUUUUACUUUUUCUUUUGCCUCAGGAGAGAGACGCCCCAUAUUGCUAAGAUUUAUGUCAAAGAGUGUUCUGCCUUUCUCUUAUAGGAAUUUUAUGAUUUCAAGUCUUACAUUUAGGUCGUAGUUGAUUUAGGGUUUAUUUUCAUAUGUUGUGUGAUAAAAAGUACUAAUUCAAUUUUUUAUAAGUAGCUGUCAUUUUCCCAGCACCACUAUUGAAGAGACUCUCCUUUUGCUAUCAUAUAUUCUUGUUUCCUUUGUUGUAGAUCAGUUGAUCAAAAGUUCAUGAGUUUAUUUCUAAGGUCUUUGUUCUCUUCCAUUGAUCCAUGUGUCUGUUUUUGUGCCCGUACCACACUGUUAUUAUUUUGUUUUUUUCAAUUUUUUUAGUUAAUAUAGAAUAUUGUGUUAGUUUCAGGUGUACAGCAAAGUGAUUCAGUUAUACAUAUUUAUCUAUUCUUUUUCAGAUUCUUUUCCCAUAUAGGUUAUUACAGAAUAUUGAGUAGAAUUCCCUGUGCUAUACAGCAGGUUCUUGUUGUUUGUCUAUUUCUUAUAUAGUAGUGUGUAUAUGUUAAUCCCCAAAUCCUAAUUUAUCCCUCCCUACCACAUUUCCCCUUUGGUAACCAUAAGUUUGUUUUCAAAAUCCAUGACUCUAUUUCUAUUUUAUAAAUAAAUUCAUUUGUACAAUUUUUAAAAAAUUAGAUUACACAUAUAAGUGAUAUCAUAUGAUAUUUGUCUUUCUCUGUCUGACUUACAUCACUUAGUAUGGUAAUCUCUCGGUCCUUCCAUAUAGCUAGUACCAUGCUGUUUGGAUUAUUGUAGCAUUGUAGCAUAGUCUGAAGUCAGGGAGCAUGAUACCUCCAGCUUUGCUCUUUGGCAAUUUGGAAAUUAAAUUUUAGGAUUUAAUUAAUUAAUUAAUUAAUUUUUAAAUUUAUUAUUUUUUUUUUGUCUUUUUGCUAUUUCUUUGGGCCGCUCCCGCGGCAUAUGGAGGUUCCCAGGCUAGCGGCUACAGCUACGAUUUGACCCCUAGCCAGGGAACCUCCAUAUGCUGCAGGUGCAGCCCUAAAAGAUGAAAAAAAAAAAAGGCAAGGAAAAAUAUACAGAAAGAAAAAUGAGAGAAAAAAGGCAUAUGUGAUAUAUCUGGCGAUCAAACGUUUUAGUCAUAGGUGUUCUAGAAAGGAAAAAUAAGUAGAUAGAGAAAACAGUAAUAAAAACAAAAUAAAGUAACAUUUCCUGGAGUUUAAGACAAAUUUGAAUCUUUCAUUGAAAGUGCAAAGAAAGUGCUAUUGACCUAAAACAGUAGUUUUUUUCUCCAGCAAAAUGGGCUUAUUUGGGAUCAACAAAGUACUGCCUUUUGGGGUUUGCAACCAUGGUGAGCCACUCACACAAGUCCCAUACAGCAAGGAGAGGAGGGGGAAAGGAAUUGGGAGUGCUGUAGUAAACAAAGAGUCCAUUGGAGGAAUUGAAAUUUUCAGAUAGUAGUGGCUUAACAUUGGCUGAGUUGUGCAGUCUCUCAUUGGCUGAGUUUGCCAGACAAGAAGAGGAAGUGUUUCUUCUUCCUGUUGGGCUCUGUGAUCAUCACAGAGCAUGUGAGCUCCCCCUUCUGGCCUCUUAUCUGUCUUUAAUUGAGGUUUCUAUUUAUUAAUUUUUACAGUGCUAACCAAAACUAUUGAGGGAAAAAAACCCUGUCCUUAGAUAUAUCCCAGUGGAAUUUCUGAACCCUGUAGACGAAGAAACCAUUUUAGAGGAUUUUUAGACUAAAAAGCAGGCAUUGUCCAAAAAGGAGAGAGAGUCAAGUCAAUUUGACAUGACCUUCUUGUCUAUAAGAUAGUGGAGCAGAGUUAGUGUAUUCAGAGUUCCACAGGAAAAAAAUUGAUAGUAUUAUAUGCAUUCAAUUUAUAGUUGUGUGACUUAAAUUUUUAGGGUACUGUGAUAUUGUGACUUAUAAAAAUAUGCUUAUUAUUUCUUAUUAUGUCUCAUAAUAAGACAUAUAUUUUAUUUUGGUCCUGUUUCUGUCAGAGUUCCUAAAACCCUAGGAAUUUCAUAAGAGAUAAGAGCAGUAAAGAUGUCUUUUGUUAUGCUAACAAAGUGACUUUUGGACUGCACCUAAGGACAGGGGCUGGUUGCCAGGAGAUUCAACCAAGUUAUUAGAAGGUUGGAAUUUUCAGUCCCACCUCUGUGACCUUAGAGAUGGGGGAAGGGCUGGGAGGAACCAAUCAUCAGUGGGCAAUGAUUUAAUUGGUUAUGCUUCAUUAUAAACUCCCCCAAAAGACUGGGAUUAGAGUUUCCAGGUUGGUGAAUACAUGGAGAUUGGGGUGGUGCACUUGGAGAGCACAUUGAAAGUUCUGUGCUCUUAUGCCAUACCUUGCACCAUGCAUUUGGCUGUUCCUGAGCUACAUCCAUUUAUAAUAAACCAGUGAUCUAGUAAGUAAAAUGAGUUCUGAGUUCGUUGAGCCAUUCUAGCAAAUUAAUCAAAGCAAAGCUGGGGGUUGUAGGACCCUUUAAUUUAUAGCCAGUUGAUCAGAAGUGUAGGUAACAACCUGGUUUCGUGAUUGGCCUCCUUAGUUGGAGGGGUCAUUGGAAUCUCCAGUUUGUAGUAAGUUGGUUAGAAACACAAAUAAAAACUUGGGUUUGGGAUUGGCAUCUGAAGUGGAGGCCAGUCUUGUAGGACAGAGUCCUUUACCUGUGGAAUAUGAUGCUAUCUCUGUAUAGAUAGUAUCAGAGUUGGGUUGAAUUGAAUUGAAUUCUCAGACGUCCAGCUGGUGUUCAAGAAUUGUUUGGUGUUGUGUAGGAAGCCCUCCUCCACCCCCCAGGGUCCCACACACGUUGGAAUUGGGUCCAGUAACUCAAAAAAGAGGUGCUGUUCUUGGGUGGCUGUAGAGUGAGAGCCUUCGACCCUAACCACUAGACCUCAAGGGCCAGCAGGCUUGAUGUGGGUCCCCAGUACUUGUCCCUUUGGAGAAAAAAUUGAGCAAGGAGACUGAGAAUAGUAAGGCAAAUAAAGUGUUUUAUUAAGAGAGAAAUACAUGCAGGAGUUCCUGCUGUGGUGCAGUGGGAUCCAUGGCAUCUGUGGAGUGAUUAAGGACGGAUUCAAUCUCUGGCCCAGCACAGUGGAUUAAGGAUCUGGUGUUGGCGCAGCUGUGGUGUAGGU
ensembl:lncRNA